rnacentral:rRNA from 1 species
UGGCGGACGGGUGAGUAACGCGUGGGUAACCUGCCUUACACAGGGGGAUAACACCUGGAAACAGGUGCUAAUACCGCAUAAGCGCACAGGGCCGCAUGGCCCGGUGUGAAAAACUCCGGUGGUGUGAGAUGGACCCGCGUCUGAUUAGCUUGUUGGCGGGGUAGGGGCCCACCAAGGCGACGAUCAGUAGCCGGCCUGAGAGGGUGGACGGCCACAUUGGGACUGAGACACGGCCCAAACUCCUACGGGAGGCAGCAG